GCAGAAGCCUACCCUUUGCCAUAGGUUUAAAAAGUAAAAGGCAAUUACCCCUGUUGUCAAGCAGUCGGUGAAUAAUGUGACUCCUUGCCUUGGAGAAGGCUCCCAGCCCCCAUGAUGCUCCGUGUGUGUGGAAGCUGGGCUCAUAAUGUCGCAAAAUAAAAUCCAGGAUGCUGCCAUCAGCUUUGAGGGUUGAAAAAGCAGAGAAUUUAACAGACUAAGUUCUAAGGUCAAUAAAAGACUGUUUUGCCCUUACUAGUCUUGGCCUGAGAGAAAAGUAACUGUGGAUCAUUACUCAAUUGGUGGGAAUCACAUCUAGUGGAAAGCACAUUAGCAUUUCUGAUUUAUAGUAUUUCUGGUCCAACACAGUGUGUCCAAAAAUAACCAGUAAUUUCAGCUGUAAAAGUACAACCUAUGUAGGAUGAUUAAGCAAUAAUAUGUCCAGGGGACAAGGUAUUUUGCGUAAGUAGUUGGUCUUUGUCCUUGCUUAAAUGUUUUUAACCUUUCCAGUGUUCUAAGUGGAUUGUAGAUAUAUUUAUAAUGUGCAUCAGUAUUUGCAGUCAAACAGAAACCUUGAGCUAAUAUUAGAGCUUAUUUAAUAAAGAUGCAGGAAGAAAUCUAUCACAAUGGAUAUAUUUUUAACAUGAAAGAUAGAUUUCGUACAUUGUAUUUUAGAAGCAAAAAACCCACAUAUUGUCAGGAUAAAUAGAUGAAAGUCAGUGUUGAGUUACAUAAAACUUAACUUCAAAUCAUUAUCGUUUAGUCGUGUUAUAAGUAUCUGAAAGCAGAGCUUCAUAAUUAGAAUACUGUUAAAAUGUCAGGCAUCCUCAACAGUAGCCACUACUCUGAGCCUCAAGCUGAAGCAUGAAAUUCAACCUCAUCUUUCCUGUGUUGAAGAUAUUUACUGUGUUUAAAUUUUACAACAAUAACUUCAGGUACCUAAUUGCUAAUUACAUUUUGACACCCUGCUGCAACAGUGUACAAGGCCUUGUAGCUGAACAACAGACUUAAGGAGCUUUCACUGGGCUCAGAAGGAAUUCUUUUCCCAGCCUAUUUUAAUUGCAGCAGCUGCCUCUCUUCUGGCAAAAGCGUUGUUGAGGAGAUGGCAAAGGGGUUGAGAAACAAAGGACUUUGUCCCACCCUCCCCAAGGAGGAGAGUACCUGGGAGACUCUGAACACAGGGUAGGGAUCCCCAAAGGGCUUAGCACAUUGUAAUGCAGAGAAAAAUGAGGCUUCUUGUGCUGGUGACAAACCUUUACCUCUGAGAAUCGAGUUGUGCCUCUGAGCUUUGUAAUCUGGAAGUGAGAGUAGAGGAAUUGCCUCCUUCAUUGCAAGUGGGUCAAUUGAGUGCAGCAGACUUUCGCUGCACUGUGUCCUUAAUCAUCCUUCUGCCUGAGAGCCUGUGUCUUCAGGUCUGUGUGGUAUUGUAGGUCAUCUUUGCCUCACAGUUAAGUCCUAUGUCUGCCAACAAACAUUCACAGCAUCAGGGCUUAAAGUAUUUCUGUGUCACUCUAAAGAAAAACAAAAGCUUUUAGAAUUUUUGUCAGUAAUUGGAAUCCUUCUCUUUCCUCAGGUUUUUCCACUUCUAUGUUUCUCUGUCCCAUAAGGCUUAUUUUAAUCUUUGUUUCACACAAUGAAGUUGUGAGAUGUGAGAAGUGAAAAAUUUUGGCCAGGAUCAGAACAGUUGUAUGAAGAGUUACUGAAAUAAAGGCCUAUCGAGCAUGAUCUUCUUUGUCUCAUAAAAUCAUCUGUGUUCACCCACCUCUGCCACCACUAAAGUAAUUAAAACAAGAAAGAACCAGAACCAAGUUGGCCAGAUCAGGUGUAGAAGUGAGUUGAGAAAAUGUCUUGUGCACUUGGAGCUACAGUAAUGAGAACCAUAGAGACACUAGGAUAGAAAUGUAUAUUGUUAUAGAUGUGAGUUGCAAAUUAUUUGCAAGUAUAAACAGAAGACUUCAUUGCAAUUGAAAUUGGGGAAUUCCUGGUCUUUUCCCAUAAGCAACAAGUGAUUUAGGUCCACAGGUGUAAACUGCUGAUGGCUCUUAGGGUUGCAGCUGGCUUACUCAGCAGAGCUAUGUAGACAGCUGCUCUGAGGAAGCAUCUUCUGAAGUUAUUUUAGUUGUUGUCUCAGCUUUCCAGGCUGUGUCUUUACCAUCUAUCCUGUAUAGAAUUGUAAUAGUAACGUAAGGCAGAGGUGCAUGCUGCUCCCAUGCAGCUGGCCCUCACAAACCUUCAGCUGCCCAUCUGUAUCAUGUCUUCCUUUGUAUUAGAAGAGCUACCUGCAUGCAAAACCAGCCUUCUUGUGAAGAUGUGCCGUAACUGAAUUUCCCACACAAGAUUCAUAGGCAUUAAUGCCAAGCUAGUGCAUUGCAAAAUUGUAGUGGGUCCCAUGUGCACACUGCGCUUGGUUCUUGCUUGUCAUAAACAGUGUGCCAUUGCUCUUCCAGGAGCAGAGCAAGAUAUAGGAGUGGGAAUUGCCACCAACUCAAAACUGUGAGGCUUUGCAGGUCGCUGGAAAUGACUAACCAAGGCGCAAAGCAACAGCUUUCAGACUGUGAUCUUGAGUUAUUAAUAGAGCUAUGGUUUUGCUAGGUCAGGAAUGGCACAGAUAUUUAUUUUUACUUGUGGACCAAUGGAAAUAAAUUUACUUGAUUCUUUUAAUCUUUCUCAUUACCUUGUUUAUGUUUCACUAGCUAGCAUGUAUCUCGGGGCUGAACCCUGGGCUCUGCUUUGGUACAGCUAAGGAAACUUGCCACUCCCAUCUGCAUCAUUAGCCUCAUGUUAAUGAUACUUAAUGUUUUGCCCAGUCACUUGUAUCUUCAGAGCACUUAACAGUUAUUAACUAAUUAAUCCUCACAACAUGCCUGUAAGUUGGACGGGAAGUAAAUAUUAACAUUCCACUUUCAGCAAAGGGAGAACCAAAUAGGAAGAUUAAGUGAUUUGCGCGAUUUUAGUGGCAGAGGUCUUAAGAGAACUCCGGUGCCUUAGUGCUUGUGUUUAUCUUUCCAGCCAUGCUGGCUCAGUGUGAAUUAAAGCCUUUGCAAUUAUCCUGUAUAGCUUUUGUGAUUACUUUAGUACCUUUUCAGCUACAAGGUUUAUGUCGCAUCUGUGGUCAUAACUAUCAUACUGGAGGAUGGCUGCUGCCCAGAGGUGCAGACCUCUCCAUGUCCCACCACAGAAAAUGUGGGCAAUACCAAGACAGAGGCUACAACUCACAUGUACUUCUCUCCAUAAAUCCAAGCCAGGCCUAUAUUAAGAAUGGGACUGUUCAGAAGAAAAAUCCUCAGACUCCUCACCAGGCCUUAUUAAAAUAUAUGUAAUACCUGGCCAAUGCUUUUACAGAAUAAUAUUAGUUAUUUAUACCUCUCUUUCAGUUGGUGCUAGAACAAAGCUGGAGCACCUGAAAACGGUAAGUCUUGCUGUGGAGACAGUUCUGAUGCUCUCAGUCUUCAAGGAACAUACAUGAACCUAUGGGAAUUCUAUCUGAUACGCUUAAUUAUCAUGAAUUUUAAAAGGUUGUAAAUUAUUUUAAGCAGCAUAAAGGAUUUUUCCUUUAACCAUGGCCCUAUGCUUUCCUUGAAGCUUCUGUGUUCUGCAUGGAGAUCACAUCUUAAAUGACUCCAGAAGGCUCUGGCUUCAGUGUUUCAAAUCAUGGAAGAAAAAAAUCCUUCUGAUGGCAAGGAUUUACAACACCAUUACAAGAGGGAGGAGAGCCUGGAAUCUAAUUACAAGAAGCAGAAAGGACUGAAGACCUUAUUUUGGUGCUUGCAAAGAGCAGACCAGCAUGGUGUCCUCUGCCCACAGAGGGGCAAUUUAGCAGACUGGAGCAGGAAGAGACCCCUGGACACAACCAGAAGUUAUGUGACUCCCUAGAGAUGUGGGGAAAGGUGGGAGAGUAAAGGAGGGAAGGGACUGAUGAUUCCUGACCAUCUAAGGAGACAAAGCCUGGGGAGAGAUGCUAGCGAUAGUCACAUAACAUUGCAAGCUUAGCCUAACCCUGCUGAAGUGUGGAUGCACAGACAGGAUGUGCGGACCCUUUGUUGGCAGUACCAGGCUAUGUCUGCACAAAUGCCAUGUUGCUUGAGCUCUCCUGUAGUGAAAGUAUAGGUGGAGGCUGUCAGUUCCCAGCAUGGUGUGACCCACAGCCACCCAUGAAGCAGAUCAGCCUGACCUGGCUGGUGAUCUGGCAGAGGAAAAGCACCUGGUCUGGUUCCGAGCGGAGGCAAGCACACAGCAAGCUGCUGUAAAUACAGCUCUGGCUGAGAACACAGGAUUCCAAAACAAAGUCUGACAAAAAUCUCUGUGUAUAAUACAGUUCCUUCAGGAGCUUUAGGAGAAUGCUGAGCAUUGGGUUUGCAGAGACAUCAGCUCCUGCCUCUGCUCUUCUGCUCAUGGCUCAGCUCUUGCUCUUCUUCCCAGGUUCUUCAGCCAUUCUUCACAUUGCUCCACUAUGAGGAGAAGAAAAAUCCCAUGUCAAGAUGCCUUAACCAUCAUCACAACAUUUACACUUUCUUUGGAAACUUGCCCUGGUUGUCUAAUGCAGCCCCAGGCAGGCCAGAGCCAGCCACAGCCUCUGCCCUGCUGAGCUCUCGUCCAGUUUUGUCUCCUGCAACAUUUGUGUUUUGGUUGGUGUUUGCCCCAUGCCGAAGGGUGGGAGCAAGCUGGGUAGCACCCAGCGCACCACCAGGGAUGGCACAUGGAUUUGCUGCCAGGACUCUGGCACUUGAGGGGGUCCUAACAGACACCUCAAAGAGUGACCCUCAGAGCUGAAAUAAUCAUGGUAAAAGGUCUGGGGGCCUCCAUAGGGAGUGAUGCAAAACAUUUAUGUGUGUACAGCAUCUAGAUAUCCAUUAGGAAAAAAACAUGAAUGAGCUUUGAUAGCAGGGCAAUAUUCCCUACAUUACACUGAUGAGUUACAGUGUACAUUGCAUGACAUCUGUGCAGAGCCUUGAGCAAUGGAUGACUAAGUAUCAUCUGAUUUUCUGUUAUUAAAAAGUAGGUGAAUGUGUGUGUUACACUAAGGAAGGAAAUGAUGAAAUUGGAGUGACAUACUUGGAAAGAGCUCCAUUUCAAAACCCCUUUUUCCUUUUCAAGGCAAAGGAGUUGCUGUUAACAGCUUCAUGCAGGGUUGGAAAAAGCCAAAGCAAUAAGAAAGCAGUCUUUUGCUUUUAGGUAUUCUGAAGUUAUGAUAGAGAGAUAGUGAUAGAAAUUUUAUUGUGUACUUUUCCAGUGUAAUGCUAUGGAGCAGGCAGAUUUCCUGAUGCCUUUAAUAAGAAUGGUAACUCUUUGAACUCAGACGUGUGCCCGGUUGUGCUCUGUAUUUAGAAAUCGAACAUUGCUCCUAGCAGUGACUUUUUAAAAGAUUUCUUUUCUUAAUGUAAAUCAUCUUCUAUGUUGACCUUGGGUGAGACAAAUCAAUACAGGACUGCUGAAAGCAGUGCUCGUUCUCAGCAGGAAUACUGGCGCCAGAGUUAGGCAGCACCAGCCAACCACAGCCCCAUGGCAGCCCUGCUUGGCCCCAUGGAGCCACCAGGCCCCAGCACCCUCCCAUGCAAGUAGGUAAUGUGGAGGGUGAUGUGAACCCAUGGAGGUUCUUUAGUUGUACCAAAGCAGCAGGCUUUCGGGGAUAUGGUGCUGAUCUUCAGAUUGCCGGGCUGUUGUGUGAGACAGGCUCACUGGGACCC